UACGGAGGGAACGAGUGUUAUUCGUCUUAAUGGGUGUAAAACGCGUGUAGAUGGUAUUUCUUGUUUAACUUUAAAAGUUUAUGUAUAAAACAUAAAAAUAGUUAGAAUACGGUUAUACUAGAGUGCUUAUAAAACAACAGUAUUUUAAGUGUAAGAUGACAUUUUAAAAUAUUUUUAAGACUAGCAAUAGGCGAAAGCGGUGUUAAGAGGUAAACUGACAUUGAGACGCUAAAGCUUAGUAGCAAAUAGG
rnacentral:rRNA from 1 species